rnacentral:rRNA from 1 species
AGAGUUUGAUCAUGGCUCAGGAUGAACGCUAGCUACAGGCUUAACACAUGCAAGUCGAGGGGCAGCGGGAUUGAAGCUUGCUUCAAUUGCCGGCGACCGGCGCACGGGUGAGUAACGCGUAUCCAACCUUCCGUACACCCAGGGAUAGCCUUUCGAAAGAAAGAUUAAUACCUGAUGGUAUGAUGAAAUUGCAUGAUAGCAUCAUUAAAGAUUUAUCGGUGUACGAUGGGGAUGCGUUCCAUUAGGUAGUAGGCGGGGUAACGGCCACCUAGCCUACGGUGGAUAGGGGUUCUGAGAGGAAGGUCCCCCACAUUGGAACUGAGACACGGUCCAAAACUCCUACGGGAGCA